rnacentral:rRNA from 1 species
GGACUACCAGGGUAUCUAAUCCCGUUCGCUACCCUAGCUUUCGUGCCUCAGCGUCAGAAAAGACCCAGUACGCCGCUUUCGCCACCGGUGUUCCUUAGGAUAUCAACGCAUUUCACCGCUCCACCCUAAGUUCCGCGUACCUCUAUCUUUCUCAAGCACAGCAGUUUCGGGCGCAGUUCUCCAGUUGAGCUGGAGGAUUUCACACCCGACUUUCUGCACCGCCUACGCACCCUUUAAGCCCAGUAAUUCCGAAUAACGUUAGCAAGGUUCGUCUUACCGCGGCGGCUGGCAC